AAGACUAUACUUUCAGGGAUCAUUUCUGUAGUUUUUAACUUAGAAAAUGUGUUUCCAAAAUGAAUUAAAUUGGUUUUACAUUUAUUAUAGAACAUACCAAAAUGAUAUAUAUGAGCGUGAAUCGGGUGUAGAGUAAUGAUUUGUUUCAUAUGCUUUACAUUUUUGAUGAACGUUCAUUAUUGCUAAUAAGCAGUAUGGAGGAAGAGAGUGAUGAGAGUG
rnacentral:snoRNA from 1 species